UAAUUAUGGUAUGUGGGAUCUCCCAAAGCUUAAACAAGCCUUAAGAGACAGAGGAGCAAGAGUUUCCGGGAGGAAGAGGGAGCUGGUAGAAAGGUGGAGAAGGUGCUCUGCUGUGCAAUGGGUGGUGUAGGCUUCAUCACAGGACACUCCGUUCCAUCAAUGAUCACCCUCGUGGUAGGAAACUGUCUGUUGAAGUCUGUCGGGGAAAAAAACUUUACAAGAUCUCUCUCCGGCCACAGGUCAACUUCUCUCCAUUGGCGUGACAUAAAAUUCACCCAUGUGAUCCAGAUAUUAGAUACUGAAAACUCUGAAAUGCUAAAAAGCCUACUCAGUUCAAAAUUUGUCUUAUGCUGACGAAGCUUGAUCAAAGUUAAAAAAAACUGAUCUGGGACACUGACAUUGUCUACUUGAGAAUACAAAUAAUUCAGAUUGUAAGCAGCUUCACCAAGUGUUUGCAAAACAAAUAAAAAGUCCUGAUAGGAAGACAGACCCGUAUAAAACAUAAUACCAGCAUUGUCAUUAGCAAAGUUUUCAAUACUGAAAAUGGGUCUUGGAGGUGUCUGUGUAGACGAGUCCACUGGAAAGGAAGAAGAAAGGAAAUCCAUGCUCUGGGUAGAGGAGAGUGGUACGUCAUGGUCAUCUUCAGUAGCCUCGAUGGUCACCUCGCUCUGGACUUCGUCACACAUUGACACUGAAUCCUCGCAUACCAGGGAAGAUGUGCCAUCACUGCAGUUCUCGUCUGGUGUGACCGUGCUGAUGUACUCUUUUCCCGACCUCAGUGUGCCACAUUCAGAGUCAACUAUCUGGAUUCGUCGCCAAGGAAAAAUGCUUGGGACAGCGUUGUCUUUUAACUGUUUUCUCAGUGGUGUAGUACCUAUUUUUGGAAAUUAAAUUAUAAGUGUUUGCAUGUAUUUUUUUUUUUUGACAUUGGUAAAUUACUUAAUUUUAAAGAUGCAUGUUGUUUAUUUUAAUAUCCUGAAUUUUAAAAUAAAACUUAAAUUAAAUCUUG